UCAAAUCAAAUACAAUUCCGAUGUUACUAGAGUGUAUAAAGUCAGGGUAUUAAUAUCGGAAUUGUAUUUGAUUUGAAUGUAUAUACGCGCGCUCAUUUCAGUCUGUGCGCACAAAUAACUUCAAAUUCAAACUUUUAUCGUUAUGUCACGCGCACA